AUUGAACGCUGGCGGCAUGCCUUACACAUGCAAGUCGAACGGCAGCACGGGGCAACCUGGUGGCGAGUGGCGAACGGGUGAGUAAUGCAUCGGAACGUACCUUUCAGUGGGGGAUAACGUAGCGAAAGUUACGCUAAUACCGCAUAUUCUGUGAGCAGGAAAGCAGGGGAUCGCAAGACCUUGCGCUGAUUGAGCGGCCGAUGUCAGAUUAGCUAGUUGGUGAGGUAAAGGCUCACCAAGGCGACGAUCUGUAGCAGGUCUGAGAGGAUGAUCCGCCACACUGGAACUGAGACACGGUCCAGACUCCUACGGGAGGCAGCAGUGGGGAAUUUUGGACAAUGGGGGCAACCCUGAUCCAGCCAUGCCGCGUGAGUGAAGAGGGCCUUCGGGUUGUAAAGCUCUUUCGGCCGGGAAGAAAUCGCACGGGCUAAUACCCUGUGUGGAUGACGGUACCGGAAUAAGAAGCACCGGCUAACUCCGUGCCAGCAGCCGCCGUAAUAC
rnacentral:rRNA from 1 species